rnacentral:rRNA from 1 species
GACCUGGCCGGGCGGUCCGCCUCACGGUGUGUACUGUCUGGCCGGGUCUUACCUCUUGGUGAGCCGGCAUGCCCUUUACUGGGUGUGCCGGGGAACCAGGACCUUUACCUUGAGAAAAUUAGAGUGUUCAAAGCGGGGCCUUGCCCGAAUACAUUAGCAUGGAAUAAUGGAAUAGGACGUGCGGUUCUAUUUCGUUGGUUUCUAGAGUCGCCGUA